rnacentral:rRNA from 1 species
CGUGGGUAACCUGCCCAAGAGAUCGGGAUAACACCUGGAAACAGAUGCUAAUACCGGAUAACAACAGAUGAUGCCUAUCAACUGUUUAAAAGAUGGUUCUGCUAUCACUCUUGGAUGGACCUGCGGUGCAUUAGCUAGUUGGUAGGGUAACGGCCUACCAAGGCGAUGAUGCAUAGCCGAGUUGAGAGACCGAUCGGCCACAUUGGGACUGAGACACGGCCCAAACUCCUACGGGAGGCAGCAGAA